AGAUUGAACGCUGGCGGCAGGCCUAACACAUGCAAGUCGAGCGGUAGAGAGGUGCUUGCACCUCUUGAGAGCGGCGGACGGGUGAGUAAUGCCUAGGAAUCUGCCUAGUGGUGGGGGAUAACGUUCGGAAACGGACGCUAAUACCGCAUACGUCCUACGGGAGAAAGCGGGGGACCUUCGGGCCUCGCGCCAUUAGAUGAGCCUAGGUCGGAUUAGCUAGUUGGUGAGGUAAUGGCUCACCGAAGGCGACGAUCCGUAACUGGUCUGGAGAGG
rnacentral:rRNA from 1 species